GUUUGUUCUUACUUUUUAGUUCCCUGAGGUGCAUUUUAGGAUUAUUUGAGAUCUUUCUGUUUUUUUUUUUUUUGAUGUAAGUGUUUAUUGCUGUGAACUUAUUUCUUAUCACUGCUUUUGCUAUAUCCCACAGAUCUUGGUAUUUUUUGUUUCACUUUUCAUUUGUUUGAAGAAAUUUUUUAUCUCAUGUUAAUUUCUUUCGUGACCCAGUGGUCAUUCAGGAGCAUGUUGUUCAGUUUCCAUGUAUUUGUACAGUUUCCCAAGUUCCUCUUGUUAUUGAUUUCUAGUUUUAUUCCUUUGUAGUCUGAAAAUAUACUUGAUAUGAUUUUAGUUUUUAAAAAUUUAUUAAGACUUGUUUUUUAUCCUAACAUGAUCCAUCCUGGAGAAUGUUUCUCGUGCUGAUGAGAAGAAUGUGUAUUCUGUAGCUAUUGGAUGGAAUGUUCUGUAAAUGUCUUUUAGGUCCAUUUGAUCUAGAGUGUAGCUUAACUCUGAUGUUUAUUGACUUUCUGUCUGCAUGAUCUGUCCAUUGCUGAAGGUGGCAUGUUUAAGCUCCCCACUAUAUUGUAUUGCAGCGAAUCUCCCUUUUAAAUGUAUUAAUAUUUGACUUAUAUAUUUGGAUGCUCUGGUGUUGGGUGCAUAUAUAUUUCAGCAAAACAUCAUCCUUUGUAUUAAGUUAACAUUAAUUUGGAUUUUAGAGUUUAUAUGGUUUUGUUUUUAUCUUUUAUGUAAGUUAAUUUUGGUUCUUCAGUUGUGUAAAAAUUACAAGGGAAAUGAAUUUAUAUAUAACUAGUUAAAACUGACACAUACAGGACACACAUUACAAUAAAAACAAUUUAAGUCAAUCCUGAAAAUGUAUGCAAAAAUAUUUUCAUUGGAAGGGUUAACAUAAUAAUUGUAUUUGAGAAGCACCACUUUUUACUAUUAUCAGUAACCGUCUGUUUAAAAAUUCACCAAAGUACCCUAUUGCAUAUAUUCUUUAUAUUCAGUCCAAACAGCCCUUCCAAUCCACACCCAAAAUCAUCUUAGUUUUUUCCUUCCUUUCAUCUACUUCCCCUCUGCUGAAGCCCCUGGAUCUUCUCCCCUGUGCCCUCAGGAACUCCUACUCCUCCAUAAAGACCCAGCUCAAGUGCUACUUCCUCUGUGAAGUCUUUCUGGAAUCCCCACAGGAUUUAAUGCGCCCACAAUGUAUCACUCAGGGCCUUGCAGGAAACACACCACACAUUCCAAUGGGUAGUUGAAGGACAUUACUAGAAAAGCAUUGUGACUUCUGAGAAACAGAUACGGGUUGUGGAAGAAGCUGAGGACACACUCAGUAUCCCACCUCACACUUUUCCUUUCCUUUUAUCUGCUACCAGGGUCCCCAUUGGCUGAACCUAACUAGAAGGCAAAGGGCAAAGAAAUCGUGAUGUUUAAUUUUAUGUGUCAACUUGACUGGGCUAAGGGAGUCCCGCAUAGCUGGUAAAACAUUAUUUCUCACUGUUUUACCAGAAACAGAAUAAGAAUGUUUCUGGAAAAGAUGAGUAUUUGAAUCCGUAAACUGAAUAGAAAAGGUCACCUUCACCAAUGCAGCUGGGCAUCAUCCAAUCUGUUGAUGGCCACAAUAGAACAAAAAGGCAGAGGAAGGAAGAAUUUGCGUUCUGCUUGAGCUGGGACUUGCAUCUUCUCUUGCCCUUGGACAUUGCACUUCUGGUUCUUAGGCCUUCAGAACUUGGACUAGGACUUACUCUCAGAGUUCUUAGGCCUUCGUGUAUGUGUGUGCAUAUAUAUAUAUUUAUUUAUUUAUAUUUAUAUAUGAGAGAGAGAGAGGGAUUAUACAUUGGUUUUUUCCAUAAAAGUUAUGCUGAGUUUGUCUGCCUUCCUGCCUUUUCUUCUACCUCCUCCACCUCUUCUUCUGCCUCUGCUACCUCUGAGACAGCAAGACCAGCUCUUCUUCUUCCUCUUCCUCCUCAGCCUACUCAACAUGAAGGCAACAAGGAUGAAGAUCCUUAUGAUGAUCCACUUCCACUUGAUGAAUAGAUAUAUCAGCACAACUUCUCUGCUCCAACUAGUCUACAUUGCAAAGCAUCUCCUAGUGUCUUUGGAAGAAGGAUCUAUGUGCCCUCAGAAUGAUAAUGAUAAGAACUAGAACUGUGAGGACUGCCAUGUGACUGUAUUCCUGAGCGAUACGCAGAAUCUUGUGAAAGACUACUAAAGUGACCAUGUUCCUUAGCGGUACUAGAGUCUGACUGUACAGGUGAAGACUGUACAUGACUGGCUGUAUCGCGGUGAGAGGAUCCGGGGUGUCUGGAGCCAUCUCUUGACUGCUCCUGAGAAGAUCCAUGACGGUUUCUGGAAGCAGACUCAGAUCGCCUCUCAGAGUCCUCUGGGUAUGCCUCACUGUCACUGUCCUGGCUAACACUGGAUCCCUGGCGCCUGCUUCUCCUGGACCCCGCUGAUUCGCCCUGGCCGGACUGUGAGUGUCUAGAGCUGUAGGCCUGAGUGGAAGCUUCAUGGUGACGUGACCCUGAGUGCCUGGAGCCGUCUCUUGACUGUUCCUCGUUACGUGUUUGUCUGCUUGCACUUCUGGAUCCUGACUGCCCAUGGGAGGCAUCAGACCUUCCCUGGGAUGUGGUGUGGCUGUGAUGGGACCCUGAGUGUCCAGACCUAUCUACCGAUUGCUCGUGGUAGGAUCCCUGUCUUCCUCCUCUCCUUGACCCCGGGUGUCCACGAAUGGUGUCCUGACCCUCUUGGGAUGCUGAGUGCCUGGAGCUGUCUCGUGCCUGCUCGUAGCGGGAUCCUUGUCUUCCUCCAGUGCUGGGCCCAGUCCGUCCGUGGGCAGACUCAGACUGUUCAUGAGUGCUCACCUGGUAGAGGAAAGACCCUGAACGUCCAGACCUUUCUGCUGACUGGCCACGUGUGGACUCUUGGUGGCUCUGCUGAUGGGGCCCAGCCUGUCCGUGGGCUGACACUGACUGUGUGUCUGAGUCUUCUGAAUGUCCCUCACUGUCACUGGCCUGACUACCACUGGACCCUCGGUGUCCACUGUCUCUGACUACAGAUGAAGCUUGUCCGUGCCCAAUGCCUGAGUGUCUGGAGCUGUCUGCUGACUGCUGGUGGUGGGAUCCAUGUCUCUCUCCUGCACUUGAUCUUGCCUGUUCAUGGGAUGAUGCAGCCUGUCCACGAGAGGAAUUCUCUGCGAGAUGAGUGCCUGCUUGUCUGGAGCUGUCUGCAGAGUGCCCGUGACCGGCUCUGUCUUCUUGAUGGGACCUGGGGUUCCUGGAGCCAUGCCUUGACUGCUCCCGAGCAGAUCCAUGAUGGUUUCUGGAAGCAGACCCAGACCACCUCUCAGAGUCUUCUGAGUGUCCCUGACUGUCACUGUCCUGGCUAACACUGGAUCCCUGGUUCCUGCUUGUCCUGGGCCCCGCUGAUUGUCCCUGGCCAGACUGUGAGUGUCUAGAGCUGUCGGCCUGAGUGGAAGCUUCAUGGUGAUGCAACCCUGAGUGCCUGGAGCCGUCUCCUGAUUGUUCGUCAUUACGAGUUUGUCUGCUUGCACUUCUGGAUCCUGACUGCCCACGGGAGGCAUCAGACCUUCCCUGGGAUGUGGUGUGGCUGUGAUGGGACCCUGAGUGUCCAGACCUAUCUACUGAUUGGCCGUGGUGGGAUCCCUGCCUUCCUCCUCUGCUUGUCCCCGGGUGUGCACGAAUGGUGUCCUGACCCUCUUGGGACGCUGAGUGCCUGGAGCUUUCUCGUGCCUGCUCGUGGUGGGAUCCUUGUCUUCCUCCAGUGCUGGUACCCGUCUGUCCAUGGGCGGACUCAGACUGUUCAUGAGUGCUCACCUGGUAGAGGAAAGACCCUGAACGUCCAGACCUUUCCGCUGACCGGCCACGUGUGGACUCUUGGUGGCUCUGCUGACGGGGCCCAGCCUGUCCGUGGGCUGACACUGACUGUGUGUCUGAGUCUUCUGAAUGUCCCUCACUGUCACUGGCCUGACUACCACUGGACCCUCGGUGUCCACUGUCUGUGACUGCAGAUGAAGCUUGUCCAUGCCCAAUGCCUGAGUGUCUGGAGCUGUCUGCUGACUGGAGCUGGUGGCGGGAUCCAUGUCUUUCUCCUGCACUUGAUCUUGCCUGUUCAUGGGAUGACGCAGCCUGUCCAUGAGAGGAAGACUCUGUGUGACGAGUGCCUGAUUGUCUGGAGCUGUCUGCAGAGUGCCCGUGACUGGCUCUGUCUUCUUGAUGGGACCUGGGGUUCCUGGAGCCAUGUCUUGACUGCUCCCGAGCAGAUCCAUAACGGUUUCUGGAAGCCGAGUCAGACUGCCUCUCAGAGUCUUCUGAGUGUCCCUGACUGUCCCUGUCCUGGUUAACACUGGAUCCCUGGUUCCUGCUUGUCCUGGGCCCCGAUGAUUGUCCCUGGCCCACCUGCGAGUGUCUAGAGCUGUCGGCCUGAGAGGAAGCUUCAUGGUGACGCGACCCUGAGUGCCUGGAGCCGUCUCGUGAUUGUUCCUCAUUUCGUGUUGUUCUGCUUGCACUUCUGGAUCCUGACUGCCCAUGGGAGGCAUCAGACCUUCCCUGUGACGUGGUGUGGCUGUGAUGAGACCCUGAGUGUCCAGACCUAUCUACCGAUUGCUCGUAGUGGGAUCCCUGCCUUCCUCCUCUGCUUGACCCCGGGUGUCCAUGAAUGGUGUCCUGACCCUCUUGGGAUGCUGAGUGCCUGGACUUGUCUCGUGCCUGCUCAUGGCGGGAUCUUUGUCUUCCUCCAGUGCUGGUCCCGGUCUGUCCAUGGGCGGACUCAGACUGUUCAUGAGAGCUCACCUGGUAGAGGAAAGACCCUGAACGUCCAGACCUUUCCCUUGACUGGGCACGUGUGGACUCUUGGUGGCUCUGCUGACGGGGCCCAGCCUGUCCGUGGGCUGACACUGACUGUGUGUCUGACUCUUCUGAGUGUCCCUCGCUGUCACUGGCCUGACUACCACUGGACCCUCGGUUUCUACUGUCUCUGACUACAGAUGAAGCUUGUCUGCGCCCAGUGCCUGAGUCUGUGGAGCUGUCUGCUGACUGCUGGUGUCGGGAUCCAUGUCUUUCUCCUGGACUUGACCUUGCCUGUUCCUGGGAUGAUGCAGCCUGUCCAUGAGAGGAAGUCUCUGUGUGACGAGUGCCUGAUUGUCUGGAGCUGUCUGCAGAGUGCCCGUGACUGGCUCUGUCUUCUUGAUGGGACCUGGGGUUCCUGGAGCCAUGUCUUGACUGCUCCCGAGCAGAUCCAUAAUGGUUUCUGGUAGCCGACUCAGACUGCCUCUCAGAGUCUUCUGAGUGUCCCUCACUGUCCCUGUACUGGCUAACACUGGAUCCUUGGCGCCUGCUUGUCCUGGACCCCUCUGAUUGUCCCUGGCCCGCCUGUGAGUGUCUAGAGCUGUCGGCAUGAGUGGAAGCUUCAUGGUGACGCGACCCUGAGUGCCUGGAGCCGUCUCCUGAUUGUUCCUUAUUACGUGUUGUUCUGCUUGCACUUCUGGAUCCUGACUGCCCAUGGGAGGCAUGAGAGCUUCCCUGGGAUGUUGUGUGGCUGUGAUGGGACCCUGAGUGUCCAGAGCUAUCUACCAAUUGCUGGUGGUGGUACCCCUGCCUUUCUCCUCUGCUUGACCCCGGGUGUCCACGAAUGGUGUCCUGACUGUCUUGGGAUGCUGAGUUCCUGGAGCUGUCUUGUGCCUGCUCAUGGCGGGAUCCUUGUCUUCCUCUGGUGCUGGGCCCUGUCCAUCCAUGGGAGGACUCAGACUGUUGAUGAGUGCUCACCUGGUAGAGGAAAGACCCUGAACGUCCAGACCUUCCCCCUGACCGGUCACGUGUGGACUCUUGGUGGCUCUGCUGAUGGGGCCCAGCCUGUCCAUGGCCUGACACUGACUGUGUGUCUGACUCUUCUGAAUGUCCCUCACUGUCACUGGCCUGACUACCACUGGACCCCCAGUGUCCACUGUCUGUGACUGCAGAUGAAGCUUGUCUGCGCCCAAUGCCUGAGUGUCUGGAGCUGUCUGCUGACUGCUGGUGGCGGGAUCCGUGUCUGUCUCCUGGACUUGAUCUUGCCUGUUCAUGGGAUGAUGCAGCCUGUCCACCAGAGGAAGUCUCUGUGUGAUGAGUGCCUGAUUGUCUGGAGCUGUCUGCAGAGUGCCCGUGACCGGCUCUGUCUUCUUGAUGGGACCUGGGGUGUCUGGAGCCGUGUCUUGACUGCUCCUGAGCAGAUCCACGAUGGUUUCUGGAAGCAGACCCAGACCACCUCUCAGAGUCUUCUGAGUGUCCCUGACUGUCACUGUCCUGGUUAACACUGGAUCCCUGGUUCCUGCUUGUCCUGGGCCCCGAUGAUUGUCCCUGGCCCACCUGCGAGUGUCUAGAGCUGUCGGCCCGAGAGGAAGCUUCAUGGUGACGCGACCCUGAGUGCCUGGAGCCAUCUCCUGAUUGUUCCUCAUUACGUGUUUGUCUGCUUGCACUUCUGGAUCCUGACUGCCCAUGGGAGGCAUCAGACCUUCCCUGGGAUGUGGUGUGGCUGUGAUGAGACCCUGAGUGUCCAGACCUAUCUACCGAUUGCUCGUAGUGAGAUCCCUGCCUUCCUCCUCUGCUUGACCCCGGGUGUCCAUGAAUGGUGUCCUGACCCUCUUGGGAUGCUGAGUGCCUGGACUUGUCUCGUGCCUGCUCAUGGCGGGAUCUUUGUCUUCCUCCAGUGCUGGUCCUGGUCUGUCCAUGGACGGACUCAGACUGUUCAUGAGAGCUCACCUGGUAGAGGAAAGACCCUGAACGUCCAGACCUUUCCCCUGACUGGGCACGUGUGGACUCUUGGUGGCUCUGCUGACGGGGCCCAGCCUGUCCGUGGGCUGACACUGACUGUGUGUCUGAGUCUUCUGAGUGUCCCUCGCUGUCACUGGCCUGACUACCACUGGACCCUCGGUUUCCACUGUCUCUGACUACAGAUGAAGCUUGUCUGCGCCCAGUGCCUGAGUCUGUGGAGCUGUCUGCUGACUGCUGGUGUCGGGAUCCAUGUCUUUCUCCUGCACUUGAUCUUGCCUGUUCAUGGGAUGAUGCAGCCUGUCCACGAGAGGAAGACUCUGUGUGACGAGUGCCUGAUUGUUUGGAGCUGUCUGCAGAGUGCCUGUGACUGGCUCUGUCUUCUUGGUGGGACCCAGGGUGUCUGGAGCCAUGUCUUGACUGCUCCCGAGCAGAUCCAUGAUGGUUUCUGGAAGCAGACCCAGACCACCUCUCAGAGUCUUCUGAGUGUCCCUGACUGUCACUGUCCUGGCUAACACUGGAUCCCUGGUGCCCGCUUGUCCUGGGCCCCGCUGAUUGUCCCUGGCCAGACUGUGAGUGUCUAGAGCUGUCGGCCUGAGUGGAAGCUUCAUGGUGAUGCGAACCUGAGUGCCUGGAGCCAUCUCCUGAUUGUUCAUCAUUACGAGUUUGUCUGCUUGCACUUCUGGAUCCUGACUGCCCAUGGGAGGCAUCAGACCUUCCCUGGGAUGUGGUGUGGCUGUGAUGGGACCCUGAGUGUUCAGACCUAUCUACCGAUUGCUCGUGGUGGGAUCCCUGCCUUCCUCCUCUGCCUGACCCCGGGUGUGCACGAAUGGUGUCCUGACCCUCUUGGGACGCUGAGUGCCUGGAACUGUCUCGUGCCUGCUCAUGGUGGGAUCCUUGUCUUCCUCCAGUGCUGGUACCGGUCCGCCCAUGGGCAGACUCAGACCGUUCAUGAGUGCUCACCUGGUAGAGGAAAGACCCUGAACGUCCAGACCUUCCCCCUGACCGGUCACGUGUGGACUCUUGGUGGCUCUGCUGAUGGGGCCCAGCCUGUCCAUGGCCUGACACUGACUGUGUGUCUGACUCUUCUGAAUGCCCCUCACUGUCACUGGCCUGACUACCACUGGACCCCCAGUGUCCACUGUCUGUGACUGCAGAUGAAGCUUGUCCACGCCCAAUGCCUGAGUGUCUGGAGCUGUCUGCUGACUGCUGGUGGCGGGAUCCGUGUCUGUCUCCUGGACUUGAUCUUGCCUGUUCAUGGGAUGAUGCAGCCUGUCCACCAGAGGAAGUCUCUGUGUGACGAGUGCCUGAUUGUCUGGAGCUGUCUGCAGAGUGCCCGUGACCGGCUCUGUCUUCUUGAUGGGACCUGGGGUGUCUGGAGCCGUGUCUUGACUGCUCCUGAGCAGAUCCACGAUGGUUUCUGGAAGCAGACCCAGACCACCUCUCAGAGUCUUCUGAGUGUCCCUGACUGUCACUGUCCUGGUUAACACUGGAUCCCUGGUUCCUGCUUGUCCUGGGCCCCGAUGAUUGUCCCUGGCCCACCUGCGAGUGUCUAGAGCUGUCGGCCCGAGAGGAAGCUUCAUGGUGACGCGACCCUGAGUGCCUGGAGCCAUCUCCUGAUUGUUCCUCAUUACGUGUUUGUCUGCUUGCACUUCUGGAUCCUGACUGCCCAUGGGAGGCAUCAGACCUUCCCUGGGAUGUGGUGUGGCUGUGAUGAGACCCUGAGUGUCCAGACCUAUCUACCGAUUGCUCGUAGUGGGAUCCCUGCCUUCCUCCUCUGCUUGACCCCGGGUGUCCAUGAAUGGUGUCCUGACCCUCUUGGGAUGCUGAGUGCCUGGACUUGUCUCGUGCCUGCUCAUGGCGGGAUCUUUGUCUUCCUCCAGUGCUGGUCCUGGUCUGUCCAUGGACGGACUCAGACUGUUCAUGAGAGCUCACCUGGUAGAGGAAAGACCCUGAACGUCCAGACCUUUCCCCUGACUGGGCACGUGUGGACUCUUGGUGGCUCUGCUGACGGGGCCCAGCCUGUCCGUGGGCUGACACUGACUGUGUGUCUGAGUCUUCUGAGUGUCCCUCGCUGUCACUGGCCUGACUACCACUGGACCCUCGGUUUCCACUGUCUCUGACUACAGAUGAAGCUUGUCUGCGCCCAGUGCCUGAGUCUGUGGAGCUGUCUGCUGACUGCUGGUGUCGGGAUCCAUGUCUUUCUCCUGCACUUGAUCUUGCCUGUUCAUGGGAUGAUGCAGCCUGUCCACGAGAGGAAGACUCUGUGUGACGAGUGCCUGAUUGUUUGGAGCUGUCUGCAGAGUGCCCGUGACUGGCUCUGUCUUCUUGGUGGGACCCAGGGUGUCUGGAGCCAUGUCUUGACUGCUCCCGAGCAGAUCCAUGAUGGUUUCUGGAAGCAGACCCAGACCACCUCUCAGAGUCUUCUGAGUGUCCCUGACUGUCACUGUCCUGGCUAACACUGGAUCCCUGGUGCCCGCUUGUCCUGGGCCCCGCUGAUUGUCCCUGGCCAGACUGUGAGUGUCUAGAGCUGUCGGCCUGAGUGGAAGCUUCAUGGUGAUGCGAACCUGAGUGCCUGGAGCCAUCUCCUGAUUGUUCGUCAUUACGAGUUUGUCUGCUUGCACUUCUGGAUCCUGACUGCCCAUGGGAGGCAUCAGACCUUCCCUGGGAUGUGGUGUGGCUGUGAUGGGACCCUGAGUGUCCAGACCUAUCUACCGAUUGCUCGUGGUGGGAUCCCUGCCUUCCUCCUCUGCCUGACCCCGGGUGUGCACGAAUGGUGUCCUGACCCUCUUGGGACGCUGAGUGCCUGGAACUGUCUCGUGCCUGCUCAUGGUGGGAUCCUUGUCUUCCUCCAGUGCUGGUACUGGUCCGCCCAUGGGCAGACUCAGACCGUUCAUGAGUGCUCACCUGGUAGAGGAAAGACCCUGAACGUCCAGACCUUCCCCCUGACCGGUCACGUGUGGACUCUUGGUGGCUCUGCUGAUGGGGCCCAGCCUGUCCAUGGCCUGACACUGACUGUGUGUCUGACUCUUCUGAAUGUCCCUCACUGUCACUGGCCUGACUACCACUGGACCCCCAGUGUCCACUGUCUGUGACUGCAGAUGAAGCUUGUCCACGCCCAAUGCCUGAGUGUCUGGAGCUGUCUGCUGACUGCUGGUGGCGGGAUCCGUGUCUGUCUCCUGGACUUGAUCUUGCCUGUUCAUGGGAUGAUGCAGCCUGUCCACCAGAGGAAGUCUCUGUGUGACGAGUGCCUGAUUGUCUGGAGCUGUCUGCAGAGUGCCCGUGACCGGCUCUGUCUUCUUGAUGGGACCUGGGGUGUCUGGAGCCGUGUCUUGACUGCUCCUGAGCAGAUCCACGAUGGUUUCUGGAAGCAGACCCAGACCACCUCUCAGAGUCUUCUGAGUGUCCCUGACUGUCACUGUCCUGGUUAACACUGGAUCCCUGGUUCCUGCUUGUCCUGGGCCCCGAUGAUUGUCCCUGGCCCACCUGCGAGUGUCUAGAGCUGUCGGCCCGAGAGGAAGCUUCAUGGUGACGCGACCCUGAGUGCCUGGAGCCAUCUCCUGAUUGUUCCUCAUUACGUGUUUGUCUGCUUGCACUUCUGGAUCCUGACUGCCCAUGGGAGGCAUCAGACCUUCCCUGGGAUGUGGUGUGGCUGUGAUGAGACCCUGAGUGUCCAGACCUAUCUACCGAUUGCUCGUAGUGGGAUCCCUGCCUUCCUCCUCUGCUUGACCCCGGGUGUCCAUGAAUGGUGUCCUGACCCUCUUGGGAUGCUGAGUGCCUGGACUUGUCUCGUGCCUGCUCAUGGCGGGAUCUUUGUCUUCCUCCAGUGCUGGUCCCGGUCUGUCCAUGGACGGACUCAGACUGUUCAUGAGAGCUCACCUGGUAGAGGAAAGACCCUGAACGUCCAGACCUUUCCCCUGACUGGGCACGUGUGGACUCUUGGUGGCUCUGCUGACGGGGCCCAGCCUGUCCGUGGGCUGACACUGACUGUGUGUCUGAGUCUUCUGAGUGUCCCUCGCUGUCACUGGCCUGACUACCACUGGACCCUCGGUUUCCACUGUCUCUGACUACAGAUGAAGCUUGUCUGUGCCCAGUGCCUGAGUCUGUGGAGCUGUCUGCUGACUGCUGGUGUCGGGAUCCAUGUCUUUCUCCUGGACUUGACCUUGCCUGUUCCUGGGAUGACGCAGCCUGUCCAUGAGAGGAAGUCUCUGUGUGACGAGUGCCUGAUUGUCUGGAGCUGUCUGCAGAGUGCCCGUGACUGGCUCUGUCUUCUUGAUGGGACCUGGGGUUCCUGGAGCCAUGUCUUGACUGCUCCCGAGCAGAUCCAUAAUGGUUUCUGGAAGCCGACUCAGACUGCCUCUCAGAGUCUUCUGAGUGUCCCUGACUGUCACUGUCCUGGCUAACACUGGAUCCCUGGCGCCUGCUUGUCCUGGACCCCUCUGAUUGUCCCUGGCCCGCCUGUGUUACAUGUGAACAAAGAUGUCGUAGACUAGUAAGGUGUCAAGAUUUGAUGGGGAUAUCCAGACAACUUGGAGCCAAGUCCCCACAGCUGGAUCAGACAACUUUUGGUGACAUCUCACAGUGUGGAUUAUCAAGCCAGUGUAUCAGUCUGGAGCCUAGGUUUUUUGCCUUUAGCUUUGCUCAGGAUGACUUCUGCUCUUCUAUGGCAAUACUUGAGAAGCUACAGCUUUGAUUAGACGAGAGGCUAUUUCAAUAACUUUCUCCUGAUAAGAAGACCACCGACCGUGGACGGAUUCUGGCCAGUUUACAAAGGCUGCAUACCAUUGGGCAGGGCACCCCACUAUGGUAAACACUAAUAAUGAUAUUGCUCCUGAUUUUGUUUCUGAAGGGAAUGCGUCUAUGAUUUCUUCAUUAAUUAUAAGAGACUGGGUCUCACUCUGUUGCCCAAGCUGGAGUACAGUGGCACCAUCAUAACUCACUGCAGCCUUCAACUUCUGGGCUCAAGUGAUUCUCCCACCUCAGCCUCCCAAGUAGCUGGGACAACAGGUGAAAUUGAAGGCCAGCUUUUGGAACUCAGCUUUCGAAGGAACUUAAAAUUUCCAUUAUGUAGAGUCCCUGAGGAAACUGGAUCCACUAGCUACACUGGCUGAGAAUGCUCUCACCCCACGAUUUCAUUUUUAUUUUACCACAUCACUGUUGGUAUCUUAAGAUCAAUGUACUGGAGCAGCGGGGUCUCACAAAGAGGAUACCUGGUGACACACCCAGGCUUUCAGAAUGCACUAUAGGGCUUUAGUGACUUGUCCAGGUUCAGCUGAAAUGUGCCAUCUGGGACCUACUAAUUCUUGUUGAACUUUACUGGAUCUCAGAAGCUGGGUCUCAGAAGCUCAGAUGUUCCCUGGAGCUACGAUAUCAACAACCUGUGAUGACAGAGAGAAGGUUGCUCCAUGAUGGAUUUGGAAACUUACUGGCUAGCUAAACCUGACUGAAUGGGAAGGAAUGUGGAUAGCUUUGGAACUCUAGUUUCACUAGAUGAGCUGGAAUUUGUAUUUUGACAAAUUAUGAUUAUUAAGUAAUGCAACUGAUUUUUUUCCCUUAAAACAAACAAUCUAGAGUCUGUGUAAUCAAAAUAAUUUCUCUAAAAGGCUGCAAGUAUAUGCUUAAAGUGUUGGGGCAUUCAGAGCAUUUGGAACAUUACAUUCUUUUGAAUGUCAAUUGGUAGAUGAAAAUACCAGCUUUUAAGUCAUACAUUUGAUUUUUUGAAACAUUAAUAUGCAUUUAGAGUUUGUAAGUCAAGUGAAUAACUGAUAAGGUAAAAAAAAAAAGGGGGAGUUCAUUGUUGAGUAUGAAUUUAAAGUAACCAGACUUCCUUUUGUCCAGUGGCUGUCAGUAAUUUACUUCAGCAGGCAUUUUUUUUUUUGAGGGGCUGUUCUAUGAUAUCAUGACCCUUCUUGUAGGAAUGUGCUUCCAGUGGUGAGGCAGUCUGAGAAUGUGUGAAGCAGUAUAAUGAAGUCAGACCAAGAUGGAAGCUUGGCCUGGGAUUUGAGCAUCAGGAAAACUGUUGAAGGGUUAUGUAUACAUCACAUACACACAUACACACACACACACACACAAACACACACACACACACACACUCUCUUCCAUACUCCUAUAACAAUGUAUAGUAUUUACUACACCUGGUGACAGGUAUUUACUAUACAUUGUUGAAGAUCUAUAACAUGGAAUGCCUAGUGCUAAGUGCAGUGUCCUUAGUGAAAUUAUAUUGGUUUGGAAUUAUUUAUGAGUUUGGGAUUAUUUGUCACUACCCUUAAAUGAUCUUGACACUCACCUAUUUGAAAAGAUAUUGAGGAUUUGCCAUUUGAUAUUGACCAGGGUGUAUUGUGCACAAAUAUUGUGACUAUACAUCUGUCUGUCCUUAAAUCACUGUAAGUUUUAACUGGAAUAGAUUUGCUCCACAUUACUCGGUAGGGCUGAUAUUUCAUGCCUCAUGGAUGAGAAAAGAAUAGGCAAAAAUUAUAUCUCGGGCUGCCUCACACAUCUUUUAACAGGAUAAGGGAAAAAUAAAUAUAAGACCUAUGAGUUAUGGCAUCAGGCUUGAACUUUAUGAAUUAAACCAACAAUAUUAUUGAUUAUUGCAAUUAUCUAUGUUAAUUUCAUUUGUUCUCCUUUUAAAAAUUAAUUGUGUUUAUUUUACCUAUUGUGAAUAAAGUCACUCCUCCCAUGUGCUUA